rnacentral:rRNA from 1 species
UACGGGGGGGGCAAGCGUUGUUCGGAAUUACUGGGCGUAAAGGGCUCGUAGGCGGCCAACUAAGUCAGACGUGAAAUCCCUCGGCUUAACCGGAGAACUGCGUCUGAUACUGGAUGGCUUGAGUUCGGGAGAGGGAUGCGGAAUUCCAGGUGUAGCGGUGAAAUGCGUAGAUAUCUGGAGGAACACCGGUGGCGAAGGCGGCAUCCUGGACCGACACUGACGCUGAGGAGCGAAAGCCAGGGGAGCAAAGCGGG